rnacentral:rRNA from 1 species
UCAAGGAAGAAAGGGCGUACGGAGAAUGCCUGGGCACAGAGAGGCGAUGAAGGACGCAGCGAACAGCGAAAUGCGGCGGCGAGCGGUAAGCACGCGAUGACCCGCCGAUAUCCGAAUGGGGAAACCCCUCCGCUUUCGAAGCGGAGACCGCAUGACGACCGUCAUGACGGGGCAAUACGCAGGGAACUGAAACAUCUAAGUACCUGCAGGAAGAGAAAGAGAAGUCGAUUCCGUAAGUAGCGGCGAGCGAAAGCGGAGGAGCCCAAACCGGACAUAGUCCGGGGUUGUAGGACCGCCGAUAAAGAUGACAUGAAGAGUCAGGAGAAUCCCAUGGGAAGGGGAUCCGAAGAGGGUGAGAGACCCGUAUCCGAAGGCUUGACAUGCGUCGAGGCGGCACCUGAGUACGGCGGGGCACGUGGAAUCCUGCCGGAAUCAUCGGGGACCAUCCCGAAAGGCUAAACACUACUCUGUGACCGAUAGCGAAGCAGUACCGUGAGGGAAAGGUGAAAAGAACCCCGGGAGGGGAGUGAAAGAGAACCUGAAACCGCAUGCCCACAAGAAGUCAGAGCCCGUCAAAGGGUGAUGGCGUGCCUUUUGUAGAAUGAGCCGGCGAGUCACGAUCAGCAGGCGAGGUUAAGCAGGAGAUGCGGAGCCGCAGCGAAAGCGAGUCUUAACAGGGCGGAAUAGUCUGAGGUCGUGGACCCGAAACCGGGUGAUCUAGCCAUGAGCAGGUUGAAGUCGGGGUAAGACCCGAUGGAGGACCGAACCGACCCCCGUUGAAACGUUGGCGGAUGACUUGUGGCUAGGGGUGAAAUUCCAAUCGAACCCGGAGAUAGCUGGUUCUCCCCGAAAUAGCUUUAGGGCUAGCGUCGCAGCGAGAGAGCCGUGAAGGUAGAGCACUGAAUAUGCGAUGGCCGCAUCCCGCGGUACUGAGCAUAAUCAAACUCCGAAUGUCACGGUGUCAUCUGCGGCAGUCAGACGGCGAGUGAUAAGGUCCGUCGUCAAGAGGGAAACAGCCCAGACCAUCAGCUAAGGUCCCAAAGUGCAUGCUAAGUGGAAAAGGAAGUGGAGACGUGCAGACAACUAGGAGGUUGGCUCAGAAGCAGCCAUCCUUCAAAGAGUGCGUAACAGCUCACUAGUCGAAUGACUCUGCGCCGAUAAUUUACCGGGGCUAAGCAUGACACCGAAGCUAUGGACAGGAAUGUGGUAGGGGAGCAUUGCAUGCAGCGGAGAAGCAUGACCGGAAGGGCAUGUGGAGCGCAUGGAAGAGAGAAUGCCGGCGUGAGUAGCGGCACGUGGGUGAGAAUCCCACGCACCGAUGGCCCAAGGUCUCCAGAGGAAGGCUCGUCCUCUCUGGGAUAGUCGGGACCUAAGGCGAGGCCGAAAGGCGUAGCCGAUGGACGACGGGUGGAUAUUCCCGUACCCGAUGUGUGGCGAUGGAGUGACGGAGAAGGCUCAGGCAACCAGCUGCUGGAAUAGCUGGGGCAAGCGAGAUACCUGCGCACCAGGGAAAUCCGGUGCGCAUAAGGGGAAGGCGCGAUGCAUACGGAAAGCUUCGGCAAGUACGGAAUAGCUGAGAGCAGGCUUCCAGGAAAAGCUUCUAGCACCACACACAUCGGCCCGUACCGAAAAUGGACACACAUGGGCAAGGAGAGAAUCCUGAGGUGAGCGAGAGAACUAUAGCUAAGGAACUCUGCAAAAUGACCCCGUAACCUAGGGAGAAGGGGUGCUCCAGAAAUGGAGCCGCAGUAAAACGGCCCAAGCGACUGUUUACCAAAAACACAGCUCUCUGCGAAGGCGCAAGCCGAAGUAUAGGGGGUGACGCCUGCCCGGUGCUGGAAGGUCAAGGGGAGCUGUCAGCGCAAGCGAAGCAGCGAGCCGAAGCCCCAGUAAACGGCGGCCGUAACUAUAACGGUCCUAAGGUAGCGAAAUUCCUUGUCGGGCAAGUUCCGACCCGCACGAAAGGCGUAACGAUUUGGGCGCUGUCUCAGCUGUAGACUCGGUGAAGUCUUAGUACCUGUGAAGAUG